rnacentral:rRNA from 1 species
AAAGGUGUGCUAAUACCGCAUAAUCUCUCAGGAGAAAAGCAGGGGAUCGCAAGACCUUGCGCUUUAGGAGCGGCCGAUGCCUGAUUAGCUUGUUGGUAAGGUAAAAGCUUACCAAGGCUUCGAUCAGUAGCUGGUCUGAGAGGACGACCAGCCACACUGGGACUGAGACACGGCCCAGACUCCUACGGGAGGCAGCAGUGGGGAAUUUUGGACAAUGGGGGAAACCCUGAUCCAGCCAUGCCGCGUGAGUGAAGAAGGCCUUCGGGUUGUAAAGCUCUUUCAGCCGGAACGAAACGGUUACGAUUAAUACUCGUAAUUAAUGACGGUACCGGCAGAAGAAGCACCGGCUAACUACGUGCCAGUAGCCGCGGUAAUACGUAGGGUGCGAGCGUUAAUCGGAAUUACUGGGCGUAAAGGGUCCGCAGGUUGUUUUGUAAGUCAGAUGUGAAAGCCCCGGGCUUAACCUGGGAACUGCGUCUGAAACUACAAGGCUAGAGUAUGGCAGAGGGGGGUGGAAUUCCGCGUGUAGCAGUGAAAUGCGUAGAUAUGUGGAGGAACACCGAUGGCGAAGGCAGCCCCCUGGGUCAAUACUGACGCUGAGGGACGAAAGCAUGGGGAGCAAACAGGAUUAGAUACCCUGGUAGUCCAUGCCCUAAACGAUGUCAACUAGUUGUCGGGCCUUUACGGGCUUGGUAACGUAGCUAACGCGUGAAGUUGACCGCCUGGGGAGUACGAUCGCAAGAUUAAAACUCAAAUGAAUUGACGGGGACCCGCACAAGCGGUGGAUUAUGUGGAUUAAUUCGAUGCAACGCGAAAAACCUUACCUACCCUUGACAUGUAUCGAAGCCCGCAGAAAAGCGGAGGUGCCCGAAAGGGAACGAUAACACAGGUGCUGCAUGGCUGUCGUCAGCUCGUGUCGUGAGAUGUUGGGUUAAGUCCCGCAACGAGCGCAACCCUUGUCAUUAAUUGCCAUCAUUUAGUUGGGCACUUUAAUGAGACUGCCGGUGACAAACCGGAGGAAGGUGGGGAUGACGUCAAGUCCUCAUGGCCCUUA